GGUCCCCUAGCUUAGCCUGGUUGGAGCGCCCGGCUGAUAACCGGGAGGUCUUGAGUUCGAAUCUCAAGGGGACCA
rnacentral:tRNA from 1 species